rnacentral:rRNA from 1 species
GCUGUCUGUUGCCACCACGAGAGGUGGGGACUCAGGCGGAACUGCCGGUGACAAACCGGAGGAAGGUGGGGACGACGUCAAGUCAUCAUGGCCCUUAUGUCCUGGGCUACACACGUGCUACAAUGGCCGGUACAGAGCGCAGCGAGGCCGCGAGGCGGAGCGAAUCGCUUAAAGCCGGUCCCAGUACGGAUUGGAGUCUGCAACCCGACUCCAUGAAGUUGGAAUCGCUAGUAAUCGCGCAUCAGCAUGGCGCGGUGAAUACGUUCCCGGGCCUU